rnacentral:rRNA from 1 species
AUUGAACGCUGGCGGCAUGCCUUACACAUGCAAGUCGGACGGCAGCGGGGGAGAAGCUUGCUUUUCCUGCCGGCGAGUGGCGAACGGGUGAGUAAUACAUCGGAACGUGCCCUGUAGUGGGGGAUAACUAGUCGAAAGAUUAGCUAAUACCGCAUACGACCUGAGGGUGAAAGUGGGGGACCGCAAGGCCUCAUGCUAUAGGAGCGGCCGAUGUCUGAUUAGCUAGUUGGUGGGGUAAAGGCCUACCAAGGCGACGACCAGUAGCUGGUCUGAGAGGACGAUCAGCCACACUGGGACUGAGACACGGCCCAGACUCCUACGGGAGGCAGCAGUGGGGAAUUUUGGACAAUGGGCGAAAGCCUGAUCCAGCAAUGCCGCGUGUGUGAAGAAGGCCUUCGGGUUGUAAAGCACUUUUGUCCGGAAAGAAAUGGCUCUGGUUAAUACCUGGGGUCGAUGACGGUACCGGAAGAAUAAGGACCGGCUAACUACGUGCCAGCAGCCGCGGUAA